rnacentral:lncRNA from 1 species
CAAGGCUCAUCACCUGUACAUUUUCAAACAAGAAGUGCACUAGCGGAAACAUACACAAACGGCUUACACGAAGGUAAGCAAUAGCCAUGAGUGAAAGAAAGGAAACUAAACAUCUACACAAGUACUAUGAUUCUCUUUUGAUCACAUACAUUGCAUUUAACCUUCAUAUUCAUGAUUCUUUACCUUUCAUUACAUCACUUGCAUCUUUUCUUUUUACAUCACAUUGCCUCAAAAUAAACUUUACAAUCUUUUCUUUCUUUGCUUUAUACAUCGACAUCUUAAAUCAUCAAAUACAAAAGAUG